AAAUGGGCCAAGGGCCCCGGGCUUGGAAGGGCAGGUGGCGCCUAGACCCAGCGUUCCCGCUCCACAGGUCUCCAGGAGUUCGCCCGGCGUUUCCUCUGCAGCGGGUGCUACUCUAGGGUCUGCGACCUCCCGCUGGACUGCCCAGUUCAGGAUGUGACAGUGACUCGGGGCGACCAGGCUAUGUUUUCUUGCAUCGUAAACUUCCAGCUGCCAAAGGAGGAGAUCACCUAUUCCUGGAAGUUCGCAGGAGGAGCUCCGGACUCAGGACUUGUCCUAUUUCCGAGAUAUGCCGCGGGCCGAAGGAUACCUGGCGCGGAUCCGGCCGGCUCAGCUCACGCACCGCGGGACGUUCUCCUGCGUGAUCAAGCAAGACCAGCGCCCCCUGGCCCGGCUCUACUUCUUUCUUAACGGUGGGGCGGGGCGCGGCCGCGUGAGUGAGCGGGGUCGGGAGAGGGGUGGGGCUCGUGCCUGGCUGACGUGCGCGCCCCCGCAGUGACGGGCCCGCCCCCGCGGGCGGAGACAGAGUUGCAGGCCUCGUUCCGGGAAGUGCUGCGCUGGGCGCCGCGGGAUGCCGAGCUGAUCGAGCCCUGGAGGCCCAGCCUGGGCGAGCUGCUGGCCAGGCCCGAGGCUCUGACGCCCAGCAAUCUGUUCCUGCUUGCAGUCCUCGGGGCCCUCGCAUCAGCGAGUGCGACAGUGUUGGCGUGGAUGUUCUUUCGAUGGUACUGCAGUGGCAACUAACAAAGGUAUCUUUCCUCCUUCCCUAUCCUAUUUCCAUCCUGAAAAUAAAGAAUAUAUUUCAACUCUAGAUUGUUUCAUCUCCGAAGGUGGUCACUACUAACUCAGGUAGGAGGAGGUGCAGCAAGCCCACACAUGCCCAGAUGAAUAUGGCCCGCAUAAUGACAGUGAUAGGCAUAGCUAUCCCAGUGCAAGUUAGGUGGGAACCCAGAUACCCCCUCAGGUUACU
rnacentral:lncRNA from 1 species